rnacentral:rRNA from 1 species
UACACGCUGUGACUAGCAUAUCAAUAAGCGGAGGAAAAGAAACUAACAAGGAUUCCCCUAGUAACGGCGAGUGAAGCGGGAAGAGCUCAAAUUUGAAAUCUUAAAGGGUUUCCCUUUACGAAUUGUAGUUUAAAGAAGUGUUUUCUGUUGAGGUUUUGGUAAAAGUUCUUUGGAAUAGGACAUCAUAGAGGGUGAGAAUCCCGUAUUUGACCUUUACUUUCAACUUUGUGAUACACUUUCAAGAGUCGGAUUGUUUGGGAAUGCAGUCCAAAAUGGGUGGUAAAUUUCAUCUAAAGCUAAAUAUUGGCGAGAGACCGAUAGCGAACAAGUACCGUGAGGGAAAGAUGAAAAGAACUUUGAAAAGGAGAGUUAAACAGUACGUGAAAUUGUCAAAAGGGAAGCGUUUGACACCAGUGUUGUUUUUCUGAAAAUCAAUUAAAGAACUGUUUAUGCUAAGUUGUUUAGACUUUAUCAGCUAACUGUUUAGUUUUGAGCUUUUCUUUAAUGCACUUUUCAGUUAACAAGUCAACAUCAAUUUCUUUUGCUGUAAAAAAGCUUGAGGAAGGUGGCUUGAGAUUCGUCUUAAGUGUUUAUAGCCUCUUGCCUAUGCAGUCGGAGAGAUUGAGGUCUGCAGCGUAGAUCCUUCGGGGCUAAAUGCAUUUGUGCUAAGUUAUAGCAUUUUAUAGACAACUUGUUGACUAUGAUUUGUCUUGUAGCUUACUCGCUUAUGUUAUUUUACCUACGCUUAGGAUGUUGACAGCAGUAUAGACUGU